rnacentral:rRNA from 1 species
GAUGAACGCUAGCUACAGGCUUAACACAUGCAAGUCGAGGGGUAGCAGGGUAGCAAUACCGCUGACGACCGGCGCACGGGUGAGUAACACGUAUCCAACCUUCCCAUAACUCGGGGAUAGCCUUUCGAAAGAAAGAUUAAUACCCGAUAGUACUUAACAAAGGCAUCUUUGAUAAGUUAAAGAUUUAUUGGUUAUGGAUGGGGAUGCGUUCCAUUAGAUAGUUGGUGAGGUAACGGCUCACCAAGUCUUCGAUGGAUAGGGGUUCUGAGAGGAAGGUCCCCCACAUUGGUACUGAGACACGAACAAAACUCCUACGGGAGGCAGCAGUGAGGAAUAUUGGUCAAUGGGCGAGGGCCUGAACCAGCAAAGUAGCGUAAAGGAUGAAGGUCCUAUGGAUUGUAAAUUUCUUUUAAAGUAGAAUAAAGUGAUCACCGUGUGGAUUUUUGUAUGUAUACUAUGAAUAAGGAUCGGCUAACUCCGUGCCAGCCGCCGCCGUAA